UUGAAGACUACAACGUUGAUAGGCAGGGUGUGUAAGCACUGUAAGGUGUUGAGCUAACCUGUACUAAUUGCCCGUGAGGCUUGACCAUAUAACACCCAAGCAGUU
rnacentral:rRNA from 1 species